CAGAGUUGCAGCAUCAUGCCUCUUCCCAUCCCUGCCCACUCCUAGCAUGGUCAGUACGUCAGUGGUGUGGGUCAGGGCGGGGAGGUGUCGUGCCAAGCAGAAUUUGAAAACAGCCAAGUUUACAAACUGCAGCCACACCAUCAGACAGAUGCUGUUUUCUGGAACACGUCAUACAUUUUUACAUGAAUGAAGUCUUCAAACAUUACAGUUUGCUGGGUGCAGAGCAUACAACUACUAUAAGCAGAAUCGCUAAUUCCUUCUGUGAACUUUCUAGAGCUCCGAGAUCUUGUCAGUUUGACUUCAGCAAUACCUGUGAGGACAUCACAAUGCUAAACCUGGGAUCCAUUGAAAACAAUUUUAAAAAGCUGCCUCAUAGUAAAGCUGUGUUAAAAGCAAUCGGGGAGCUUGACAUACUACUUCAUUGGUUGGACAGACUGCACUGAGCAACCCUUGCGUAUCAUAACCCAACAUCGUACUGUCGUAAAACUUAGUUUAAAAAAAUACCCUCCCCCCGAAAUCUAGCAGCUUAACAUAUCCUCUCCCGGAAUAUCCUGUGACAUUUGCUGGUGGAUACUAUACAUAACCUGUAUUGAAUUAGCAAAGGACUUCUUUUUCUUGCACAUGGAAUAAACCUACCUGCUACAAAUAAAUUAUAAUUAUAUUAAUGGAUAAAGAAAUAAUUUAAGGACCAUUGUCAAGAAGUCUAUUGUUAGAAUUUUUUUUAAAAGUAUAAUAAAUACAUUUUAAGUGUAACUCUUGUUUUACAAAACUUUUGAAAUAUCAUAGAUACAUGUCAGAAGUUUUGCUUGGUGGGGGGUCCGAAUACUUGGACCCCUAUAAUGAUCGCUAAAAUGAACAGGUGGAAGAGCACUUAGCUGAGCGGUGUCACAACCCUUUGCCCUUGCUCGCUGAAGAUACUUUCUGUAAAGUCCAUCUUCAGCACUUGAGGGAAGACAACACUUACUUGAGUGUUUAUUCAUGUCCCUUUUAGUCAGCACUCCAAUAAAAACUUCUGACAUAUCUCCAUGACCUGCCAAAAGAUUUUUAAAAUUAGUUACACCUUAUUUACAUACAAAAUAUUUAAAAACACUAAUAGAAACUUAUAAGAAGUUGUUUUAUUUAUUUAUUUGUUAAAUUGUAUGUUUUUUUUUAAAUGUAACUUCCACUUUGAGAUUAGAAUAAGUCAUCUAAACUUGAUGUUUAUCUUAUGAAGAAAAUGGCAGGAAAUAUAGCAACAUAUAGGGUUGUACAGGGUCAGCCAGAAAAAACCCAUGUGGUGGAAAAUACUUUUGCAAAGUAAAGUAUUUUAGGAGUGAUACCUUUAUUGGCUCUCCAUAAAAAUAUAGUUUAUGAAAAAUUAUUCUUUUGUAAAGCCUUUUACCUUGAGAGCUCACAAAUAUAUAUUUUUACUGGUUGGCCAAAACAGGUAGCACUAAAAAUGUGAGUGUUCUUUUGGCACAAAAACAAACACAUAAUAACCACAUAAACAAAAUAUUAGAAAUUUUAAAUGUUAAACAGUACAUUUUGUAUGCCCUUGCGUGGGCUACUGGAUUUAUACUUUAUAGCUAAUAAUAAAUCUCAUUGUUCUUGCUCAAAUUAAAAAACAAAUUUUUAUAAAGCUAAGGUCAUACCUGAGGACUCAGUCCCCUCUGGUAGUAGGGUAGCCCAAUUUGUCUUUGGGCUUUUCAAGUGUUUUAAUUUC